CAGGCGAGAGGAUGGGAAUACCAGCAGCACAGAUGAGUGGGUCACCCAAGUUAUUGCGGCCCUCAGCUGAGAACCUUCCAAUUAUCAUGUCAGGCAUGGAGGAAACAUACACCAGUCUCAGAGCCUGGAAUAUUCGGAGAGUACCCACGGUUUUUGGACAUGCCAAGUCUGGCUGGACUUGGAGUUUGGCAAUCUUACAGGAGGAAAGGUGGACCUCUUUUUGCGAAAAUGGGAAGCCAGUAGGGCUGCCACAAACGAUUAUUUUGAUAGUCGACUAGUCACCGAUUAUUUAUGCGAUUAGUCGACUAAUCAGAUCAUCAUCCACUGGACAUAAAACUACAGCUUAUUGCACCAGCAGCAUCUGCUCUUAUAUAACUAUCAUUAGCUUACAGCUUUAAGCUUUUAAGGUGCUAACUAAAAAUAAAGACAAGAUGAUAGUUUAUUCAAUUUUAAUGAAAUUUGCAGAUUGUUUCGGUAAAGUUUAAUAAACUCCUUGCUAUCUAAAAUAUAACAGGACACCGGAGUAUAUUCUCCAGCAUCUCACACUUCUGAUGAUCAGCUGUCUGCUUGACGUUUAUUCAGCUGUGUAAAAACUAUAACUUUAAUCUCAGCCAAACCGAUUUACUCAGGAACAAAUAAAAUACUAAAAAAAAAAAAAAAAAAAAACAAGCCAAACAACAACAUUUUUAAUUUAUCUAAGUGACUCAUAUAUAUUUAACCUGAGUCGCGAAAGACGGCGGUGGGUUUGAAAACAAUUUGCCGGGAGUCCGGUGUUCUCACGGCGCUAGUGACCUAGCCCCCGGCUAGCUAUCGAGCUAGUGGGUAACAGACGUCUCCGAAAACGUCGGAGCGCUUUUGAAAAUAUGUGGUGUCUUGAUAAACUGAGCAGAUAUUUGAGGUUUACACAGCUACAUUCUCGCCUGAAAAUAUGUUAAAUGUUUAUUUUGUGACCCAGAAAGAAUAAUAAGAGUAAUAUUAAAACUAACUAGCUACCGCCAUUGUUGGAAACUAAGCUGGGCCGCGCUAUGAAUUCUGGGACACAGCUGCUUCUUCUUCUUCUUCGGGGUUUAACGGCAGCUGGCAUCCUUGUACAUGCUGUGCUGCCAUCUUCUGUUUCAGUCCGUUAUUACACUCUUAAAUCCUGCUAUUAUUCCUGCGUCUUUUGCGAUCUUACAAAGCUUCAAACGACACGUCGACUAUUAAAUCAGUCGUCGACGAUUUUGAUAGUCGACGUAAUCGUGACUAGUCGACAAAUCGUGGCAGCCCUAGAAGCCAGUAUCAUUCCGAAGCUCAAAUUAGUAGCUGCCCUGGAAACAAGAACCCCCCCGCCAUGUGUUAACACACCUACUCCCACCAGUUGGUGCCAGUCGUUGCAGCCUUUUUUGCACUGCCUGGAACAAGUAUUGCAUCGCUUUGCAGUGAUCCUGAAGCAUCAUCCACAACACACCAACCCCAGCUGAUAUGCAUCGGUGAUCUAAAGAGGGCAACCAGGCAGUACAUCAUUGUUGCUAAGAAUGACAGAGUAACCAUUUCUCUGAAUGAUGGCCUGACGUGUGCUGUGGAUAAGCUUUUCAAACUGUACUGGGUAUGUAACUUGUCCUAUCCAGCACCACUUGGCUCCGUCUUCACCUUCUUUGAGUUUGUCUAUGACCUGCCGCUGUCCACCCAAAGGAAAACCAAAGUACUGGAGCUGAUUGCACAGAUUAAAGGAUGCAAGUAAAAUGUUCACCUGUCCAAAAUGUAGAGAGUCUCUGUUCACAGAGGUGAGAAACCUCAUUUGGCAUCUUUGUCAAAUACACUGCUUAUCAGGACUGACCAUUUUUAUGCCUAUGCAGUGGAAAGGUCAGACAAUAUGAACUGAUUGGCU
ensembl:lncRNA